UUCCACCCUAUUUCACCCUUCACAGCCGCUCUGGGCAGCGAGUCACACUACCGGCUUUCCAAUGUGGAAGAUGGGAUCUAUUUUAUUGCUUGCACUAUGUGUGUUGGCUUCAAUGCUGCACACAAUAAAUUGUGCUGACGAUUCGUCAUUGACCGGAUACAGCUACUGUUCUGACGUUCGUGCAGUCCUGAAGCGGACACACGAUCACACGCUUUUCAACUUUUCAGUCG